CGGAAGAACUCCAGGAGGAGCAGCACGCCCUUUGCCUUGCCCAUAUGUCUGAGCAAGGGCAAGGAGAAGCCCUUUGUCAGGCGCUAAGGGCUGCUGAUAGAAUGAUGGCCCUGUCUGUGCCAGCAUCAAACUCCAGCCACCCCACCCUGGCCAGGAUCCUGGAGCCCUGGAGCCACCCUCUAGGGAAUGCCUCCUUGGUAGGCAUUCAUCUCCUUCCUCCUUACCUGACAUCCUCACUGAUUUCAAGAGCUCACCUUUGGCUGUUCUCCCUGCACAGCAACCCUCUGGUUACUCGUCUGUCCCCACAGUGGUAUGCAGUAUUUGCUGACUGGAUGAAAAAGAUCUAGUUCUAAAGCCAAGAUAGCAGAGGAGGAAGGGAGAGAGAAAUGGAAGGGGAAGAAAAGAAUCGAGAUUAAGAAAGAGGGAUGAAUGUAUGGGAAGAAGAAGAAAGAAG